rnacentral:rRNA from 1 species
GACAGAGGGUGCAAACGUUGUCCGGAAUUAUUGGGCGUAAAGAGCUCGUAGGCGGUCUGUCGCGUCGGAUGUGAAAAUCCAGGGCUCAACCCUGGACCUGCAUUCGAUACGGGCAGACUAGAGUUCGGCAGGGGAGACUGGAAUUCCUGGUGUAGCGGUGAAAUGCGCAGAUAUCAGGAGGAACACCGGUGGCGAAGGCGGGUCUCUGGGCCGAAACUGACG